UUUAUUUUUUAUAUGAGCUGAAACUUUUUUUUUUCAACAAAAAUACUGAAUAUUUCUAACACAUUGUAUUACUUCAUUCUCGAUCCUAAUUUCUUUGCCAAGCAUAAAGCUAUUGAGCAUUUAUGUUGUCUGCAUAUUUAUUCUCAACCUUAUCUUUGUAUCUCUUUGUUACUACCAGAUACCAACACCUCUUCCAGCUGCCGUUUCUUCGGGUCAGCUUAUUCCUAGGCUGCGUUCCUAACGGCCUAGUGCAAAAUUGAUAUCAGCCCCUCUCCCAGCUGCUGCUACGUUGGGUCAGCUUAUUCCUAGGCUACGCUCCCAACAGCCUAGUACAGAGCAUAAACAUGACGAAUUGACACUUACUGGUCGCCAACCACUAUUAAACCACUCAGGUUUAAUAGCGGUUUAACCCACCAAUAGAGAAGAUAAUUACCCUCCAAGCUAAGAAAGAACUAAUUAGCCAUGUGCUAGGGAGCACAGACAGUACAGGCAGCACAUAUUGAGGUAUAAUAUCCCAUUGCAAUACCGCCCACAAUAGCAAAAAACUACCCACAUCCAAUGAAAAUAUUAUCCACUCUGGCCAGAGAGAACAUAAAAACAUAAGAACAUAAGAAAUAAGAGAAGCUGCAAGAAGCGACCAGGCUUAAUCGUGUCAAUCCCUGUAUGAAAAUAUCUACCUAUUUUCACCUAUCAUCCCCAUCCAUAAAUUCGUCCAGUCUUCUCUUAAAGCUCCCUAAUGUCUUAGCACUAACAACAUGAUUACUGAAUCCGUUCCACUCAUCUACUACUCUAUUUGAGAACCAGUUUCUUCCUAUCUCCUUCCUAAACCUAAAUUUUUCAAGCUUGAACCCGUUAUUUCUUGUUCUAUCCUGGCUGCUGAUCCUAAGAAUUUUGCUUAUAUCCCCCUUGUUAUAACCCUUAUAGCACUUAAAGACUUCUAUCAGGUUCCCUCUUAACCUACGUCUCUAAAGAAUGUAAAUUUAACAGCUUCAAUCUCGCCUCAUAAGGAAUACAACUUAUCCCCUGUAUCCUUUUAGUCAUUCUCCCCUGUGCUGAUUCUAACAGACCUAUAUUUUUCCUGUAAUGUGGGGACCAGAACUGCACAGCGUAGUCUAGAUGAAGUCUGACCAGUGUCAAAUAUAACUUUACUAUUACUUCGGAUCUUCUACUUUUAACACUCCUAAAAAUUAAUCCUAAUACCCUAUUUGCAUUGAUUUCUGGCUUCUGUGCAUUGCUUACCUAGACGGAGUUCAGAGAUAACUAUAACUCCUAAAUCUUUUUCGUACCCUGAACCCACCAGAGUUUCGUUGUUUAUUGUGUACCUACUGUGUGGGUUUCCUCUAUCUAUGCUAAGUACUUUGCAUUUGUUGAUAUUAAACUGCAUUUGCCAUCUGUCAGUCCAUUGAUUUAUCCUAUCUAAUCUGCCUGCAAGGCGAUAGCAUCCGAUUCUGACCUAAUUAAUCUACCUAUCUUUGUGUCAUCCGCAAAAAAAGCUUAUCUACACUCUGCCAAGACAUCUUCCCAACUCUGAACACGGGUGGAAAUCCUCGAAGAAAUUAGACAACCAUAAGCUUUCUCAAAUAUUAUCCUAUCCUCUGGUUUGUCCCACUCACAACUGUGGGCUCCAGCACCAGUAACAUUUAACAAACACACUACACACAGCUGUACACUAUACUUAGGCAGGAAGGGAGGGGGUGCGGGGAAGAGAACCAGUAUCUACUCUCGUAAGAAUAUGGAUAAAAAUAUAACGGACAGCCAGACAACACCAGACUGCAGGUGUAGUCCCACUCCACCCUGCAGGAGUAACAAGGUCAUUUCCCAAAAGGAAAUCUACACCCAACACUGGCAAGUCUUCUGCUGCUGCCACCCGCUCCUCGGAGGUCACUAGCGGACACAAGAAUCUCCCCUCCACCGUGGCGAAUCUUUUUAUGGCGCAAACUGGCGUGUUCCUUAUGGUCUGGAAAAACUGCCAGAUUCAACAGCCGACUGAACUUUACUUAAAAGGCGGUCUGCAAGAAAAGAAAAAAAAAAUCUUUACGUCAAUUGUCUAUCAAGCCAACUAAUAAAACAUUAGGAGCAUUCUUAGCCACCAUCAUUAACAGAUAUAAAAAAAAAAAUAUGCCAGAAUGAGCUAAAUACUAUGCACUAUGCACGCAACGUAAAAUAGCUACGGUUCAAGUAUGGUUCAGUAUAAUUGGGCAGCUAAUGUAGCGUGAGUGGGUAUUUUUUUGGUUUGCACAGUUGGACGGAACCAUAACAUAACAAUAUCCAACGUGCUUGAUAUUUUCGCGGCUUGUGGCUGUACCAUAACGCAGACCAUAACCGUGAGAAGACCUAGCAACUUAUUUUUCUAACUUUCAAGAUUCACAAUUUCAUAAUUAAUGCAUUAAUUGUAAACACAUAAACAUAUUGAUUAAAUUUC